GGAGGUGUAGCUCAGUGAUAGAGGGUUUGCCUAGCAUGCAGAAAACCCCGGGUUCUAUCCCCAACACUGCCC
rnacentral:tRNA from 1 species